UUGACCACUUGUAAUGUGCACCUAGGAAGAAGCAACAAUUGAACCCAAGCACCUAUAGAACCUGCAUCAACAACCUUAUAAAGACUAAGAGCCUCUUUCAAUGCCUGAGAGAAUGUCAGACGACAACUAUGAUGUAUACUUUUAACGGUGCAUAUAGGUGCUUGGAGAACUCUCUUUAACCACUAAAAUUGAACUUGUGACUAGAAAUAUGAAUAGGUCUACAUGAUACAUUCACAAGUGUAUGAGUAUAUCGUCGUAAUAAAAAAGAGUAUCGAUUCACAAGGACUAAGAAGAAACAAGGUAAAACUUGUUUAUAGAGAUUAGAAAGAUUAGAGAAAUAGAAAUAAAAUAAAUAUAAAUAUAAAUGAGAUAUUGGAGAUUUGGUUUGGUUUAUGAGAGAUUGAUCAAGUGAGCAAGAUAAGCAAAUAAUUAUAUUUCUAAUAAAAAUCACCCUAUGAUCAUGGAUUUUAUCACAACUAAAUAGUUCCUAUUAACCUAACCAAUCAUACUUUUAUCAUGUGAAAAGAUAUUUAAAACAAGCUAUAGAUAAUGUGAUAACUACUUGCAAUUAACGGGACAUCCCGUGAAAACAAGAUGGAGAUCCUCACAUACCCUUAGACGCACGGUAAGUGCAAUACACUGGUCAUAUCAUAAAGGAUUAGGAAAUACAUUGACUUCUCUGUUCGGUGCUUCAUCUUCUUGUCCUAAGAUAAACAACAAACACCCUAUGACAUAUGAUAUCAUUUGUUAGUAAUCACAAUCAACAAAAACACAAGAGACAAGGAUCAAGAGAGAAUGCUAUGGAUUACUCUCCAUAACCCUAAGAUGCUGGUGAACUACUCACACCUACACAUGAUGAGGAUCUGCAAGCAUAAACUAAAUUAAUCUAAACUAAGAAGACAUGAGAAAAUACAAGAAAGAACUUUAUUGAUAAUGUAGGAUUGUAUACAAUAGAAAACAUGAUGAUUUUACAAAUGAUAGAGGGUCUAUAUAUAGCCUUGAGAAGCUCAAUUUCCGUGGAAAAAUAAUGGAUAGCUGAUCUUAAUAAAAUUAGUGGACAAUAAAAUGAAAAAACGGAAAGCCAAAACUAAUUUGGCUCUAAGAAAAGCCUACCAUGGCAGUGGCCAACCUGGCACGACCCAUGGCAGGGCUUCAGGAUGAAUCAUUAUCAUGGUGCUUCGACUAUGAGGCCUGGCACAACUGUGGCCAGUCAGGCACAUCCAUGGCCAGGUGCCAGAGUGCUUUUUCUUGACUUUUCACAUCUUCGUGAUAGUUUCCUUGUUC
rnacentral:lncRNA from 1 species